UACGUAGGGUGCGAGCGUUAAUCGGAAUUACUGGGCGUAAAGGGUGCGCAGGCGGUUAUAUAAGACAGAUGUGAAAUCCCCGGGCUCAACUUGGGAACUGGCGUUUGUGACUGUAUGACUAGAGUACGGUAGAGAGGGGUGGAAUUCCUGGUGUAGCAGUGAAAUGCGUAGAUAUCAGGAGGAACAUCGAUGGCGAAGGCAGCCCCUUGGACCUGUACUGACGCUCAUGCACGAAAGCGUGGGAGCAAACAGG
rnacentral:rRNA from 1 species